rnacentral:rRNA from 1 species
GACGAACGCUGGCGGCGUGCUUAACACAUGCAAGUCGAACGGAAAGGCCCUGCUUUUGUGGGGUUCUCGAGUGGCGAACGGGUGAGUAACACGUGAGUAACCUGCCCUUGACUUUGGGAUAACUUCAGGAAACUGGGGCUAAUACCGGAUAGGAUCUCCUGCUGCAUGGGGGGGGUUGGAAAGUUUCGGCGGUUGGGGAUGGACUCGCGGCUUAUCAGCUUGUUGGUGGGGUAGUGGCUUACCAAGGCUUUGACGGGUAGCCGGCCUGAGAGGGUUACCGGCCACAUUGGGACUGAGAUACGGCCCAGAAUGCUACGGGAGGCAGCAGUGGGGAAUAUUGCACAAUGGGGGGAAGCGUGAUGCAGCAACGCCGCGUGCGGGAUGACGGCCUUCGGGUUGUAAACCGAUUUCGCCUGUGACGAAGAGUGAGUGACGGUAAUGGGUAAAGAAGCAACGGCUAACUACGUG